UCCCUGGUGGUCUGGUGGCUAGGACUCUGCACUCCCAAUGCAGGUGGCCUGGGUUCAAUGCCAGGUGAGGGAA
rnacentral:tRNA from 1 species